rnacentral:lncRNA from 1 species
GAGCUGAUGAGUGAAUCAGCAUCAUCUGGCUUCUUCUCAAGUGGAUGCAUUAGCUCCAAGUCCUGUCCAAUGGGAGCCAUACUUUCUCUUCACUUUCAGUAGAUUAGCAGAGAGCUGGCUCAGUAGGUCUGUGUUUGUUCUGUUGCAGAAUGGAGUGAAUCCAGCCACCACCUUCAGAAGCUCCAUUUCUAACAAGGCCACUUCCUUGACAAGAGGGCUUUCAAUGCUAUAGCUACAAGGAUGGGACGUCUCCUAUAUACUUGUCCCAGAGUAUGUUUGGAGCUUAAUGGCGGUUGACAGUGGGCCGCAUUCCCUUCGAAGGCUGAAUGGGAAGCUGAAAGACUGAGGACAGCAGUCAGGGAGAUCUGUCAAAGAAAUCCAGCUCCUCAGAAUUACAGACUCAGAUUCUACGCUGUAAAGGUCAGGGGUGGCUAUGCCCUGGAGGUGAAAAGGCUGUUUCUGUACACUGAGUGGGUGUUUCCUGCUUGCUGCUAUGACUCAGACUGGAAAGAAAAGAUGAUUAAAACCACCAACACAUUACCAUUCUCAAAAUGAUUGCAUCUGCCUCAUCUCACCUGACCAGGACAAAAUUCUUCCAGAAGGAUGUCAUUAGUACCUUCAUCUUAUGGGUAAGGGAGCAGAGGGUCAAAUAAAGAGAAUGAGAUAAAUAAUUUGAA